rnacentral:rRNA from 1 species
AAGUCGAGCGAGGAGAUUCCUCGGAUGAUCCUAGCGGCGGACGGGUGAGUAACACGUGGGCAACCUGCCUACAUAGAGAGGAAUAGCCUUACGAAAGGGAGAUUAAUACCUCAUAACAUUGCAGUUUCGCAUGGAACAGCAAUUAAAGGAGUAAUCCGCUAUGAGAUGGGCCCGCGGCGCAUUAGCUAGUUGGUGAGGUAACGGCUCACCAAGGCGACGAUGCGUAGCCGACCUGAGAGGGUGAUCGGCCACAUUGGGACUGAGACACGGCCCAGACUCCUACGGGAGGCAGCAGUGGGGAAUAUUGCACAAUGGGGGAAACCCUGAUGCAAGCAACGCCGCGUGAGUGAUGACGGCCUUCGGGUUGUAAAGCUCUGUCUUCAGGGACGAUAAUGACGGUACCUGAGGAGGAAGCCACGGCUAACUACGUGCCAGCCGCAGC